AUAAUCGUUAAUCCCCGGAUUUCCGAAUGGGAAAACCUGCAUGUCUGGAGGAUAUGCGUGAAAACGGUAAGCCCGUGAACUGAAACAUCUAAGUAACGGGAGGAAAAGAAAGUAAAAACGAUUCCCUUAGUAGCGGCGAGCGAACGGGGAUCAGCCCAUUAAGUUAUGUGUGUUUUAGUGGAACGCUCUGGGAAGUGCGAACGUAGAGGGUGAUAUUCCCGUACACGAAAGGGCACACAUAAUGAUGACGAGUAGGGCG
rnacentral:rRNA from 1 species